rnacentral:rRNA from 1 species
GACGAACGCUGGCGGCGUGCCUAAUACAUGCAAGUCGAGCGGGCCCUCGGAGGUGCUUGCACCUCCGGACGGCCAGCGGCGGACGGGUGAGUAACACGUGGGCAACCUGCCUUUGAGACCGGGAUAACACCGGAAAACCGGUGCUAAUACCGGAUACGUCCUCUUUCGCGCCUGCGAGAGGGGCGGAAGACGGAGUUUAAGGCCGUCGCUCAAGCAGGGGCCCGGGGCGCACUAGCUAGUUGGUGGGGCAAGGGCCUACCAAGGCGACGAUGCGUUGCCGACCUGAGAGGGUGAUCGGCCACACUGGGACUGAGACACGGCCCAGACUCCUGCGGGAGGCAGCAGUAGGGAAUCAUCCGCAAUGGGCGAAAGCCUGACGGUGCAACGCCGCGUGAGUGAGGAAGGUUUUCGGAUCGUAAAGCUCUGUUGUGAGGGAAGAACAGCUUCCGGAGGAAAUGCCGGAGGUUUGCCGGUACCUCACCAGAAAGCCCCGGCUAACUACGUGCCAGCAGCCGCCGUAAAAC